rnacentral:snRNA from 1 species
GUGCACUUCCUUUGGCAGCACAUAUCCUAUAAUUGGAAUGAUGCAGAGAAGAUUAGCAUGGCCCCUGAACGAGUAUGACAUGCAAAUUCAUAGUGUUCUAUAUUUAA